rnacentral:rRNA from 1 species
CGUGUAGGCGGCAUGGUAAGUCGGGUGUGAAAUCCCUCAGCUCAACUGAGGAAGUGCGCCCGAAACUGCCGUGCUUGAGUGCCGGAGAGGAUGGCGGAAUUCCCCAAGUAGAGGUGAAAUUCGUAGAUAUGGGGAGGAACACCGGUGGCGAAGGCGGCCAUCUGGACGGCAACUGACGCUGAGACGCGAAAGCGUGGGUAGCAAACAG